UUACUGGAGACAUUUGACCUGGAAAAAAGAAAUCAGCUGAAGAGGCUAAGGUGGCAGUAUUCGGAGGCUGACAUUCAAAGAAUGAGACUUAUUUUGUAUAGCCUUAGAAAGCAGAAUCUACCUCUCUGACCUUAUCACUAAGGGAAACUUGCCAUUCCAGCUAACACUUUUAUUGUGCUAAAAUAUACAUAACAUUUAUUAUUUUAACCAUUUUUAAGUAUAUAGCUCUGUGACAUUAAAUAUAUUUACAUCGUUUUGCAGCUGUCACCGCCGUCCAUCUCCAGAACUUUUCAUUGUCCCAGACUGAAACUCUGUGCCCAUUAAACACUCACUUCUCAUUCCUUUCUCCUUCCACUCCCGGCAACCACCAUUCUACUUUCGCUCUGUGAAUUUGACUACUGAAGGUACCUAGAGUGUAAGCAGAAAACCAAGCAGACCUUAACAUGUGAACAGAAAGAAGGAGCCUUCUCCAGUUUUCCUAUUUCUGAAGAGACUAUAAAGCUUCUGAAAGCAUUUGGCCAUCCAGUGUCAUUGGUCUCAGAGGCCGGCAGUUAUUAGAGAUGUCCUUCAAGUCUACAGUGGGUCUGAAGGGAGGGCUAUUGUUUUCUGUGAGACCAAAAAGAAUGUAACUGAAAUGGCCAUGAAUCCACACAUAAAACAGGCUGGAGUGCAGUGGCAUGAUCUUGGCUCACUGCAGCCUUCACCUCCCAGGUUCAAG